ACAGACACAUGCACCGGAGGGUCAAGAUUAAUGUUGCCAUCAUCCUCGCUCCUUCUCUUCCGUGUGUUAUGAAAAUCCCGAACAAUUUUGAUAGCUAUAGUUUAUAGUGGAGAUCUUGCCAACUGCUUUCAGCACAGGGAAAACUCUUGCCCAUAAUCUUCACAGCUCAUCACUCUCCCACACUUACUAUCAGAACGGGUGUUGUAAGAUGACAAUCAAAGCUAUUGUUGUUUACAUAUCCUUCUUUACUGAUAGAAACUUUAAUACUUCCUAAAAUAUUGGGGGCAGACGCUUUCUGAAAGUUUGAUUUUUCUGAGUUUCUGUCUUGUAAUGCCGGGUCUAAUAGACAGUGGCCACCAGCUUGCACCUUCCUCACCUUUAACAUCUUCACCAGUCCCUCAACUUACGUUGACACGAGAGAAGAAACGAAAAAAUGAUGAAAGCCAUGAAAUUCUCUAAUCUCCAGGGCACAAGGGACAUAACAUGGCUGAUGUGACUUGUGGUGCUGCGUGAAUCAUACGUGUUGUGAGAACAGAGGAGUGGGCAUCUGGCCUCCUCUGGAAAGUGGAGGGGCUCAUGGAAACUUCUUGGAAGAAGCCCUGGGAAAUGCUGGGAUUUUUGUUUGUUUAUUUUGCAGAUGGUGGAUUCCUUGGGGGACAGGGGACCUGAACUUGUCCUCCUCUGAGUUCUCAGUUGCUUCCACACACAGGGAAAGAGCGGCACAGAGAACUUGUUUGCUUUACUGGGUGAGAAAUCCCUCUCUACCACUUGCUGUGAUUCUUUUGAAGCCUUGGUUUCCUCCUUUGUAAAAUGGGG
rnacentral:lncRNA from 1 species